rnacentral:rRNA from 1 species
ACUCAAAGGAAUUGACGGGGGCCCGCACAAGCGGCGGAGCAUGCGGAUUAAUUCGAUGCAACGCGAAGAACCUUACCAAGGCUUGACAUAUACAGGAAAUGGCUAGAAAUAGUCCCCCCGCAAGGUCUGUAUACAGGUGGUGCAUGGUUGUCGUCAGCUCGUGUCGUGAGAUGUUGGGUUAAGUCCCGCAACGAGCGCAACCCUCGUCCUAUGUUGCCAGCACGUAAUGGUGGGAACUCAUGGGAGACUGCCGGGGUCAACUCGGAGGAAGGUGGGGAUGACGUCAAAUCAUCAUGCCCCUUAUGUCUUGGGCUUCACGCAUGCUACAAUGGCCGGUACAAAGGGCUGCAAUACCGUAAGGUGGAGCGAAUCCCAAAAAGCCGGUCUCAGUUCGGAUUGAGGUCUGCAACUCGACCUCAUGAAGUUGGAGUCGCUAGUAAUCGUAGAUCAGCAACGCUACGGUGAAUACGUUCCCGGGCCUUGUACACACCGCCCGU